rnacentral:rRNA from 1 species
GGCCUUUUGAUUAUAAUUUAAGGUCUAGCCUGCCCAAUGAUGAAGAAUUUAAUGGCCGCAGUAUUCUGACUGUGCAAAGGUAGCAUAAUCAUUAGUUUUUUAAUUGAAAGCUUGUAUGAAAGGUUUGAUGAGAAAAGAACUGUCUCAAUUUAAAAUUUUAGAAAUUUAUUUUUAAGUAAAAAAGCUUAAAUUUUCAUUGAAGACGAGAAGACCCUAUAGAGUUUUAUUUAUAUAAUAAUAAUGAGAAUUUAGUAUUUUAAAUUUUAUUAUUAUAUAAAUUUGGUUGGGGUGAUUAAAAAAUUUAAGUAACUUUUUUUUUUAUUAUUACAUUUAUUUAUGAAUAGAUGAUCCUUUUUAGAUUAUAAGAUGAAAUUACCUUAGGGAUAACAGCGUAAUUUUUCUUAGAGUUCUUAUUGAAAGAAAAGAUUGCGACCUCGAUGUUGGAUUAAAAUUAAACUUUUGGUGAAGAAGCUAAAUAGUUAGGUCUGUUCGACCUUUAAAUUUUUACAUGAUCUGAGUUUAAACCGGUGUAAG